rnacentral:rRNA from 1 species
UACAGAGGGUGCAAGCGUUAAUCGGAAUUACUGGGCGUAAAGCGUGCGUAGACGGUCAUGUAAGUCGGGUGUGAAAGCCCCGGGCUCAACCUGGGAAUUGCAUUCGAGACUGCAUGGCUAGGAUGCGGAAGAGGGAAGCGGAAUUUCCGGUGUAGCGGUGAAAUGCGUAGAUAUCGGAAGGAACACCAGUGGCGAAGGCGGCUUUCUGGGCCUUACCUGACGCUGAGACGCGAAAGCGUGGGGAGCGAACCGG